rnacentral:rRNA from 1 species
CACGUAUUUAGCCGUCACUUCUUCUGUUGGUACCGUCACUUUCUUCUUCCCAACUGAAAGCACUUUACAUUCCGAAAAACUUCAUCGUGCACACAGAAUUGCUGGAUCAGACUUUUGGUCCAUUGUCCAAUAUUCCCCACUGCUGCCUCCCGUAGGAGUAAGGGCCGUGUCUCAGUCCCCUUGUGGCCGUUCACCCUCUCAGGCCGGCUACCCAUCAUCGCCUUGGUGAGCCGUUACCUCUCCAACUAGCUAAUGGGACGCAAAGCUCUCUCACAGCGCAUAUAGCUUUCAUAAUCAAAUGAUGCCAUUCGAUCAUAAUAUUCGGUAUUAGCAUUCGUUUCCAAAUGUUGUCCCAAACUGUGAGGCAAGUUCUUACGCGUUACUCACCCGUCCGCCACCCAAACGAGUUCAAGUAGACUUGCAUGUGUAAGCAUUCUGUCAGCGUUCAUCCUGAGCCAGGAUCAAACUCU